rnacentral:tRNA from 1 species
UAGCUCAGUGGUUAGAGCACUGACUGCUCUUCUGAAGGUCCUGGGUUCAAAUCCCAG